ensembl:lncRNA
AGAUGAGACUGAGAGAAAAAAGAAAAAGAGAAGAUGAUGGAGAUGAGAGAGGAAGAGCAGAUCAUGGAGCCUCUCAAUAUUUCCUGGAAGUUAGCAUUAAAUACUAGCAGCACAGUAGAAUUGCAGCAGAACAUACCAUUUGUGAUGUACUUUUAAAAGAUUGCUCCUGCUCAUUUGAUCCUCUCCAUGUCAUUGGGGACAGCAUCCAUUCAUACUCCUUUCUCUGAGCGAUUGGAGUAUCCCCAUGCAGCACAGCAAACCAUGGUGGACACUAUACAAGGACAACAUGGAGGAAAGGACACAGACAAAAUGCUUGACAUGCUUUUCAGUUUAUUAGAAAUGUAUUUAUAAA